GUAAAAUCGACGGAACAUCGAACAGGAACAAUCAACACACGCUUCACGAAACAGCCCUCCCCCGACCCCGAGCUCCCCUUGUCGUCACACUUUCUCUUCCUCUCCUCCUCCUCCGUCUCUACCCUCCGAGCAGCUCUUUCUCCUCCGUCUCCACCCCUCGAGCUGCGCCCUUUCUCUUUUUCUCCUCCUCCUCUGUCUCUCCCCCUUCUCUCUUCUGAGUCUUCCUCCCGCCCGCUGCUCUACCCCUUUCUCCCUGUUCUCUCUGUUGCUCUCUAUGCCCAUUUCAUUGCUGCAAGGAGUUCCAUUGCCGUGAAUAGCUUUUUCCAGGAUCUGUUUGACGAAAUACAUGAAAGGGAUGUCGCACGUGGAGCCCAAGGAAGAGGAAGAGGAAGAGGAAGAGGAAGAGGAGAUGUUGCUGCCUGCCUGCCCCUCAAUCGGCCCCGCUUGGCGGUAGAGCCAAACGGAUAGGUUCUGCUACAUGGACUCGCUUCUCAUUGUACAACAACCCUACUUUCAAACUUAUUAAUAAAUGAUUUCCAAUAUGAAAGAGAACUAAUUCUUUUGAUAGUUGACAGAAAUGAGGACAUUUAUCAACUUAAUGUCAUCGUCUUUUGCUUUGUAAGCCAUAGUGUUUUCUUCCUAUCAAAGUUAGGAGAAUGGACUUUAUGAUAGUUGAUGUUAUAUUACACAAGUUUAUCUUGAUUUUUAUAACUGA